GAUGAACGCUGGCGGCGUGCCUAAUACAUGCAAGUCGAGCGAACAGAUGAGGAGCUUGCUCCUCUGACGUUAGCGGCGGACGGGUGAGUAACACGUGGAUAACCUACCUAUAAGACUGGGAUAACUUCGGGAAACCGGAGCUAAUACCGGAUAAUAUAUUGAACCGCAUGGUUCAAUAGUGAAAGACGGUUUUGCUGUCACUUAUAGAUGGAUCCGCGCCGCAUUAGCUAGUUGGUAAGGUAACGGCUUACCAAGGCAACGAUGCGUAGCCGACCUGAGAGAGUGGUCGGCCGCACUGGAGCUGAGACACGGUCCAGACUCCUACGGGAGGCAGCAGUAGGGAAUCGUCCGCAAUGGGCGAAAGCCUGACGGAGCAAGGGCGCGUGAGUGAUGAAGGUCUUCGGAUCGUAAAGCUCUGUUAUUAGGGAAGAACAAAUGUGUAAGUAAAUAUGCACGUCUUGACGGUACCUAAUCAGAAAGCCACGGCUAACUACGUG
rnacentral:rRNA from 1 species